GGGAGGACCAUAGUUCAGUGGGAGAGCAUCUGCUAUGCAUUCAGAAGGUCCCUGGUUUGACCCCUGGCAUCUCUCA